rnacentral:rRNA from 1 species
AUUGAACGCUGGCGGCAGGCUUAACACAUGCAAGUCGAGCGGGGUGAUGGUGCUUGCACUAUCACUUAGCGGCGGACGGGUGAGUAAUGCUUAGGAAUCUGCCUAUUAGUGGGGGACAACAUCUCGAAAGGGAUGCUAAUACCGCAUACGUCCUACGGGAGAAAGCAGGGGAUCACUUGUGACCUUGCGCUAAUAGAUGAGCCUAAGUCGGAUUAGCUAGUUGGUGGGGUAAAGGCCUACCAAGGCGACGAUCUGUAGCGGGUCUGAGAGGAUGAUCCGCCACACUGGGACUGGGACACGGCCCGGACUCCUACGGGAGGUAGCAGUGGGGAAUAUUGGACAAUGGGGGGAACCCUGAUCCAGCCAUGCCGCGUGUGUGAAGAAGGCCUUAUGGUUGUAAAGCACUUUAAGCGAGGAGGAGGCUCUUUUGGUUAAUACCCAAGAUGAGUGGACGUUACUCGCAGAAUAAGCACCGGCUAACUCUGUGCCAGCAGCCGCAGUAA